rnacentral:lncRNA from 1 species
GGCCGCCUACCUGCAGGGGCUACGUGGACGGAUGGCCAUCGCUAGCUCCCAUCCACCUGGUUUAAUUUAAGCUGGGGAUUGUGAAUUCUUUUUUUUUGUUGUUGUAUCGCUCUACUCUGGCUAUUCCCCGUGCAGUGUUUCUUGGUUUCAAAGACUGCCAUGUCAUCUAGGUUGAUAGUUCCUCUCUCCCAGUCUUCUGCUUGACAGCUGCCACUUGUUAAUUU